rnacentral:rRNA from 1 species
UACAGAGGUCUCGAGCGUUAGGCGGAAUCACUGGGCUUAAAGCGUGUGUAGGCGGAUUGCUAAGUACCUUGUGAAAUCCCACGGCUUAACCGUGGAACUGCUUGGUAUACUGGCUGUCUUGAGCCACUUAGGGGCAACCGGAACAAACGGUGGAGCGGUGAAAUGCGUAGAUAUCGUUUGGAACGCCAAUGGUGAAAACAGGUUGCUGGGAGUGUGCUGACGCUGAGACGCGAAAGCCAGGGGAGCAAACAGG